rnacentral:rRNA from 1 species
UACGUAGGGGGCAAGCGUUGUCCGGAUUUAUUGGGCGUAAAGCGCUCGCAGGUGGUCCGUCGCGUCGUGCGUGAAAGACCCCGGCUCAACUGGGGGAGGUCGUGCGAUACGGGCGGACUGGAGGCCAGUAGGGGGAUGCGGAAUUCCGGGUGUAGUGGUGGAAUGCGUAGAGAUCCGGAGGAACACCAGCGGCGAAGGCGGCAUCCUGGACUGGUCCUGACACUCAUGAGCGAAAGCGUGGGGAGCGAUCCGG